rfam:Oryza meridionalis cultivar OR44 (W2112) chromosome 11, whole genome shotgun sequence.
AAUAAAUGCACUGAUCAGUUUACAUGUCAAAUUUUGAUCGUCCGUUUUAUUUGAUAUUUUUUAUGAUUAGUAUUUUUGUUAUUAUUAGAUUAUAAAACAUGAAUAUUACUUUAUGCUUGACUUAUGUUUUUUAGUUUUUUUUCAAAAACAAUUAAAUAAAACGGACGAUCAAAGUUAAACAAGAAAACUUAUGACUGCGUUUAUU